rnacentral:tRNA from 1 species
CAAAUGUGGCUUAAUCAAAGCGUCUCGCUUACACCGAGAAAAUACCUGUUGGACCCAAGUCAUUUUGA